rnacentral:rRNA from 1 species
GAUCAUGGCUCAGGAUGAACGCUAGCUACAGGCUUAACACAUGCAAGUCGAGGGGCAGCAUUCUUCUAGCAAUAGAAGAGAUGGCGACCGGCGCACGGGUGAGUAACACGUAUCCAACCUACCGAUAACUCCGGAAUAGCCUUUCGAAAGAAAGAUUAAUACCGGAUAGUAUACGAAUAUCGCAUGAUAUUUUUAUUUAAAGAAAUUUACGGUUUAUCGAUGGGGAGUGCGUUCCAUUAGUUUGUUUGGUCGGGG